rnacentral:rRNA from 1 species
AGACGUCUACAUUAGAUACCCGUGUAGUCCCAGCCGUAAACGAUGUGCGUUAGGUGUAUCGACGACCACGAGUCGUCGAGGUGCCGAAGGGAAACCGUGAAACGUACCGCCUGGGAAGUACGGUCGCAAGGCUGAAACUUAAAGGAAUUGGCGGGGAGCACCACAACGGGUGGAGCCUGCGGUUUAAUUGAACUCAACGCCGGGAAGCUCACCGGAUAAGACAGCGGAAUGAUUGCCGGGCUGAAGACUCUGCAUGACUAGCUG